rnacentral:rRNA from 1 species
GACGGUACUUUAGGAGGAAGCUCCGGCUAACUACGUGCCAGCAGCCGCGGUAAUACGUGGGGAGCGAGCGUUGUCCGGAAUUACUGGGUGUAAAGGGAGCGUAGGCGGGAUUGCAAGUCAGAUGUGAAAGGCGGGAGCUCAACUCCCGAGCUGCAUUUGAAACUGUAGUUCUUGAGUGAAGUAGAGGUAAGCGGAAUUCCUGGUGUAGCGGUGAAAUGCGUAGAUAUCAGGAGGAACACCGGUGGCGAAGGCGGCUUACUGGGCUUUUACUGACGCUGAGGCUCGAAAGCGUGGGGAGCAAACAGGAUUAGAUACCCAGGUAGUCCACGCUGUAAACGAUGAUUACUAGGUGUGGGGGGACUGACCCCUUCCGUGCCGCAGUUAACGCAAUAAGUAAUCCACCUGGGGAGUACGGCCGCAAGGUUGAAACUCAAAGGAAUUGACGGGGGCCCGCACAAGCAGUGGAGUAUGUGGUUUAAUUCGAAGCAACGCGAAGAACCUUACCAGGUCUUGACAUCGUAUGCAUACCAUAGAGAUAUGGGAAAUCCCUUCGGGGACAUAUAGACAGGUGGUGCAUGGUUGUCGUCAGCUCGUGUCGUGAGAUGUUGGGUUAAGUCCCGCAACGAGCGCAACCCUUACCUUUAGUUGCUACGCAAGAGCACUCUAAAGGGACUGCCGUUGACAAAACGGAGGAAGGUGGGGAUGACGUCAAAUCAUCAUGCCCCUUAUGACCUGUG